rnacentral:lncRNA from 1 species
CCAUCUCCCUGCUUCUUUGCACUACGCAUCUCAUCACACACGCACUGCUCCUCCUCAUACAGGCUCCCUGCCCACCAGCUCCGCUCGCGCUACCGGCCCUGCCCAAACACAGAGGUGGUCGCGCAGCCCAGCGGCACCUCCCCAUCCCAUCAGCGCCUCUGAGGGAUGAGAGUAACAAAGCCCGCUGCCACCCCCUCCUUCCUCACCUCACAUUAAUCCGGAAUGUCCUGACAGCCUCCAUAUGCCUACAGCACCUAAAAAGGAACUCCCAUGUGAGGUGGAGGUUGGACGGAGGAAAGAAAAGGUCCCCAGGUCCCUCAAAACAUUGUUCCUAAUAAGGAAGAUCUCUGAGUGUGCUGCUAAGGAAUUAAGAACCCCAAGCCUUCUAUUGCCAUGCCUGGGCAGUGUUUCACUGUAUCACCUUUCAAAAUGGGCCCUACAAAGAUCCUCCUGCGCUGGCUGAUUCCUCAGAGGGGUGGCAGAAGGCGGUUUUAUUCUAUUUUGCUGCAUUCAUCCAUUUCUCCUUCCAGUCCCAACAACAACAGCAGCACCCACCACACCCGCUGCCACCACCCACAGCAGCCAGCUCACCAGCAAGGACAUCUCCCGGCACAGCCCGCAUCCAGCAGAACCCACCACACGCACUGUCACCACCCAGAGCAGCCACGGCACCAAGAAGGACAACUCACAACAGGGUGCAGAUCCAGGUAACCCAGCACUGGGGAGGCAGGGGCUCUGCCUGCAGUGCUUCUGUGAUCAGAAGGGGCCAAAUUAAUGUCUGUGCUGGCUACAGGCAUUUCAGAACGCAGGGACAUGUCUGCAGCAGAGCCUUUCCUCCUUCCUCUCUCUCCUUUCUUCCUGCAGGAACAAGCAACGAGAACACACUGAGUUCCUGCUGUAAAUUGAUCCUGUGGGUUAACCUGGCUUGUGCCUGCCUCCUGCUCCUCACUGCCAUAACCAUCACCAUCGUGCUCUGCCAAAGUAAGUCGCACCCUCACACCAAAGAGCACAGCCCGCUCCUCCAGGGGAAGGGGCUCUCUGCCUAUUGCCCUCACGCACCUAUUGCGUAUCCAGGACACAGGCAAUACAAAGGGACGGCUCUUAAAAUUCUUUUCUAGACUUUCCUCAUCUAUAGAUUCAGCUUGAAAAGUAUUUAUCCCAUACUACACUGUGAGACAAUAAUUGAAAACACAGAAACCUGAUUCUACCAGACUACACUGUCUCCACCAUCCUGAAAUACAUAUAUCAUGGCUGGAAGUAGCAAAACCCAAAGC